rnacentral:lncRNA from 1 species
CUUCUACUCGGACCGACACUUCAGUCUAUAGAACCUCCCAAAGAUGGCAUCAACAGUAGUGGUACCAAGAAUCAAGCUGGGUUCACAGGGCCUGGAUGUAUCGAAACAAGGGCUGGGCUGUAUGGGUAUGUCGUCUAAUUACGGGCCGCCGAAGCCCGAACCUGACAUGAUCGCCCUCAUUCACCAUGCCAUCGCCUCCGGGAUCUCAUUCCUCGACACUUCCGACUCUUAUGGUCCCCACACCAAUGAGAUUCUUAUCGGAAAGGUAAGUUUAUAUUUCUUAUCAUGCUUAUGAGGUAUUAAGAGAGAUGACUGGUAAUGACUUAUGUGGAUGGUUUAUAUGAACUGAACCUGUUAAUUUUUUUUUCAAGUUUUUGCUGUGAAUUUUUUACUUGAACUUACUUGUUCAAGUAAAUUCAGUGAAUUGAGAUAUUUAUUUCAGACCUUAGGACUUCUUCUUAGAACAAGAAAUUUGAGCUGGAAAUCAUAUUUUCUUCCUUUGGGUUUAGUGUGAUAUUCCUGGAUUCAACAAUUAAGUUUUCUUUUUCUUCUUUAUGAAUCACUAAUUUUUUAAUUGAAUCUCAACGAUGGAUGUGUCGCUAUUUAUUUUUCCGCUUAAAGUAAAAAUAACUAGUAAAAUCUGCACCAAGAAAGGCAAUUAAUUCUGUAUACACUGUGGGCAACUAUCUCUUAAAAUUUUAUGGUUUUUAGUUGCUUUUGUGCCUGUGCACUGACGAUGGGUUGAUGAAUUCGGCAACCAAGUGACAAAUUUAGGCAAAUCUGUGUAGGCUUUGACAGGAGGACUGAGAGAGAAAGUGCAAAUAGCUACCAAGUUUGGGAUAAGUAGGAAGGAUGGGAAAAUGAAAAUCAGUGGUGAUCCAAAAUAUGUGAGGGCUGCCUGUGAAGCAAGCUUGAAGCGGCUUAACAUUGACUGCAUUGAUCUCUAUUACGCUCAUCGAAUUGACACCAGUGUGCCUAUUGAAGUCACGGUUUGUCAUUUUCCCAAAUCUUAUUCAUUUGGUACUGCAUUUAGUUUAGUAUUUCAUACAAUGGUGAAAUAUAAAUGAGGCUGAUCAUCUUUAAUAACGAAAAAUGGUAAUAAUGUUUAUCUAAUUCUGCGUUUUGCACAUAUAUCCUUCUUGAAGAUCAUGUUCAGUUUUCAUUGUCUUAUUUUUGAGCAGCUUCGACUGAAGUUUUGCUUGACUGGAAGAAUCUGGCCUCUUUGUGUUUUCGGUGAACAAUUUUGACUGAGGUUUUUAUUUAAUUUUACGUGGAGGUUUUAUUGUACGAUAGUGUUAGGUAAUUGACUGUAAGAUGAGACUAGUAAGUAGUAUGUGUCGGUAAUUGCUAAAGACUUAAUUAAUCUCCUUUUGUUGUACUAAUUGGAGUAGAAGAGUCCUAUAUACGAUUAUAUUACAAAAAAUCCGACAUUUACUUGGACAAAAAACCCAUAUCUGGUGUGACUUGAACUUGGAAACUGAUUUCCUCACAGCUUCAGCCUCGAUUCCAAUAAAGACUUGGUUCUCAUUAAUACAAUACCAAGACCUUAUAAGCUCAGUUUAUUGGCCUACUUUAAUCAAUCGUUGGCUAAUAUGAGCAUGAGCGAGAAUGAUCAGCAGGAAUGUUGACUAACACUGUUUUUUCAC